rnacentral:rRNA from 1 species
AGAGUUUGAUCAUGGCUCAGGAUGAACGCUGGCGGCGUGCCUAAUACAUGCAAGUCGAGCGAACAGACGAGGAGCUUGCUCCUUUGACGUUAGCGGCGGACGGGUGAGUAACACGUGGGUAACCUACCUAUAAGACUGGGAUAACUUCGGGAAACCGGAGCUAAUACCGGAUAAUAUUUCGAACUGCAUGGUUCGAUAGUGAAAGAUGGCUUUGCUAUCACUUAUAGAUGGACCUGCGCCGUAUUAGCUAGUUGGUAAGGUAACGGCUUACCAAGGCAACGAUACGUAGCCGACCUGAGAGGGUGAUCGGCCACACUGGAACUGAGACACGGUCCAGACUCCUACGGGAGGCAGCAGUAGGGAAUCUUCCGCAAUGGGCGAAAGCCUGACGGAGCAACGCCGCGUGAGUGAUGAAGGUCUUCGGAUCGUAAAACUCUGUUAUUAGGGAAGAACAAACGUGUAAGUAACUGUGCACGUCUUGACGGUACCUAAUCAGAAAGCCACGGCUAACUACGUG